GCCAGGCAGGGUGGCGCAUGCCUGUAAUCCCAGCAACGUGGAGGCUGAGGCAGGAGGAUGGCAGGUUCAAUCACAGCAAUCUGGUGAGCCCCUAAGCAACUUAGUACGACCCUGUUUCAA
rnacentral:sRNA from 1 species